UGUGUGUGUAUGCAUCUUCUAUUUUCACUAAUUUGUCAGUAAAACACUCUGGGUCAACUGAUCCCGAAAAUACGGAUACAUAGAAAAUUCUGUGAGGGAUAGAUUUCACAAGGAUACACAGGAUGCCAAAGAGCCGCUAGUAAACUACACUGAUGAUAACACCAUCGGGUGUCCAUUAAAAGGAUCAAACACCCAUGAGUUCCAACAUAUUGUUUUCAACAUAUUGCAUAUUUUUGUCUCACACACAACCAAAACAUUAUUUGCAAUGUCUUGCUUUGGAAUGAAAUAAAUUUAAAUCUGAAACUAAAA